GUUCCCCCCAUCGCCCGUGGGGGCGCUGCACCAAGAACUACUGAAGGAAUCGACACAAAACCUCUGAAGAAGACCAGCGCAAUUUCCUUCACAAAAAGUAAACAAAAGCGGAGCCGUGUCACAGGAUUGUAGGAUUUCUCCGUUUGUUCAUCGCCUGUUAGUUCCUAACCCUGACGACUCUCCUGCAGGCGCCGUUUCUACAAACUAUAUUCAAAAUUCCUCCACAAAUCUGAUUGUCAUUACCACACAUCUCCACUAGGUGGAGCAGAUUCACACCUUAUCAGUGACUCCUGAGCAGAUGAUGUCCCUGCGUCCAUAUGGCGGACCUUUGUGACUCUUGUCAACUUUAAAAGCUGCAGCCCGUCCCCCCUCCCCCUCCUGCUGCUGAAUGGGGAGUCAACGCCAUGCUGUCCUGCCUAAGCGUGCCUUUUGUUCCGCCUCCUCCGCUCACUCUCGGCUCCAGACUUUGUUUUGGGUGAAAGGAUUCGUCUCAAAAGUCCCGGUCAGCCAGCAGCAGCUGCUCCGGACUGCGCCUUUAUUCCCCACAAAGGAGAGGCGAGGCGGCCCCUCCCACCCCGCUUUCUGCUCUUUGUGUCCAUUCAUGAAGCAGCACAAGUGCUGCCUGCAGCUUUUCGGUCAGUUUUAUUUUUGGCGAGUUGCACAAACAAUGAAUAUCAUAAAACUGCCUCAAAACUGCUCUUCAGUUUAGAGUCAUGCCCCAAUUUAUUGUCUAAAGAAUCAGAGAACAUUUAUGACUGGAGUCUUAUGGCCGCUCUAAGAAACUAAACAUAAAAUUACGAGAAUGAAAUCAUAGUAUUAGGAGAAUAAACUAUUAAAAUAGAGUCGUAGUAUAAAGUAACAUAACUUCUGUUUUAGCAUAACUUCCUCUGUGGCUUUUGUUGUAAUUAACUUUUAAGUACGAUAAAUCAAUAAUCCAUAAAUAUUGAUUUAAAAAGAAGUACUACUUCCAUUGGCAUUUAAUUUUGCUUAUAACAUGAGGAAAGUGAUUUGUAACAAAUGAAAUAAUCUGCCCGUUACCUAGCAACCUCAGCGAAGUUCCGCCCAUCACCUAGCAACCAAAG